rnacentral:lncRNA from 1 species
CAAAAACCAAAAGAAGUCACAGAUCCCAAACCGGAUCAUGUUCUGCUUCAUGUUGGAUGAAAGAACCAAAAGUCCAGAAGAAGUCUUCCCAAUGUUAUAUCUUGACCGCUGUUGUAAUAUACCUGAUGUUCCUCACCGCAGGCUUUGGCUUUCUUGCCUAUAAAGUCAAUGAGAUUCGCAAUGAAAUCGAUUCAGAUAAAUCAACUAGCUUGCAUUCAACAGAUAAACCAAUAAAACAGGAUCGUGUUGGUGAAAAAAACUUAGAACAAGGUCAAGAAACCUUAACCUUAAAGAAAGAAAUCCUCAUCAUUAAGCAGAGCAACCAGUAUUUAGAAUGGAAAAUGGCCAACGUAACAGAACAACUUGAAAAAAGGCGAAAUCAAGGACUUCCAGGACCUCCCGGUGAGUGCAUUUAUUCCAAUCAUCUUUUAA